GGCCCCCGACCCGGGAUCUCUACCCAAAAGGAGGCGGUUAGAACACAGAGAUUGAUCAUGCCUACAAUGACAACUGGAAAACAGAAAUGAAACCAUAUAAGCCAAGCACUCACGCAAUCUUUGUCCUCCCAGUUGACUUAAGAACACUUGUGAAGAAAAUGUGGCGUCUUUAGAUCUCAGGAACUGUUGGUGUCCCUACUUUCCAGAUGGAGAAGUUGAAGCCCGGAGAACUCAACUUGAAAGUACAACCUGCUGGCCUAAACAAGAUGCUGUGCCUUGUAUUUCAACCCAAAGAAUAAGAUGGAGAUGGAGACGAAUGAGAGGCAUGCAAAUCAUAAAAGUCCACAGAAUCUUGUACAUUACUUGAUACAUGGAAUGUACUAAUAAAUAUUUGCUAAAUGAAAAA
ensembl:lncRNA LINC01312 long intergenic non-protein coding RNA 1312